GACGAACGCUGGCGGCGUGCUUAACACAUGCAAGUCGAGCGAUGAAAGCCUUAUGAACUAUUCGUAGUGAUUGAGGCCGGAUUAGCGGCGGACGGGUGAGUAACGCGUGAGCAACCCGCCUUAAACAACGGGAUAGCCUCGGGAAACCGGGAUUAACACCGUAUGAGACCCCGCCUUCACAUGAAGAAGAGGUUAAAGAUUUAUCGGUUUAAGAUGGGCUCGCGUCUGAUUAGCUAGUUGGUGAGAUAAAAGCCCACCAAGGCAACGAUCAGUAACCGGCUUGAGAGAGUGAACGGUCACAUUGGAACUGAGACACGGUCCAAACUCCUACGGGAGGCAGCAGUGGGGAAUAUUGCACAAUGGGGGAAACCCUGAUGCAGCGACGCCGCGUGAGCGAUGAAGGAAUUCGUUUCGUAAAGCUCUGUCCAAGGGGAAGAUAAUGACAGUACCCUUGGAGGAAGCCCCGGCUAAAUACGUGCCAGCCGCCGCUGUAA
rnacentral:rRNA from 1 species